rnacentral:rRNA from 1 species
AGAGUUUGAUCCUGGCUCAGGACGAACGCUGGCGGCGUGCUUGAUACAUGCAAGUCAAGGAGAACGUUUCCUUCGGGAAACUAUUAAACUGGCGAACGGGUGAGUAACACGUAGGCAACCUACCCUAGAGAUUGGGAUAACUCCGGGAAACCGGGGCUAAUACCGAAUAAUGCAGCGGAUCCUUCGGGAUAUUGUUGUUAAAGCGGGCUUCGGCUCGCACUUUUGGAUGGGCCUGCGCCCGAUUAGCUUGUUGGUAAGGUAAUGGCUUACCAAGGCCAUGAUCGGUAGCUGGUCUGAGAGGAUGAUCAGCCACACUGGGAUUGAGAUACGGCCCAGACUUCUACGGAAGGCAGCAGUAAGGAAUUUUGCGCAAUGGACGAAAGUCUGACGCAGCAACGCCGCGUGAUCGAUGAAGCUUCUAGGAGUGUAAAGAUCUGUCGUAAGGGAAGAAAAACCUGGAUGUAAAUAAUGUUCAGAUUUGACGGUACCUUUCAAGAAAGCACCGGCUAACUUCGUGCCAGCAGCCGCGGUAAUACGAGGGGUGCUAGCGUUGUCCGGAAUAACUGGGCGUAAAGGGUCCGUAGGCGUUUUACCAAGUUGAUUGUUAAAUCCACCGGCUUAACCGGUGACCUGCAAUCAAAACUGGUAGAAUAGAAUAUGUGAGAGGAAUGUGGAAUUCCUGGUGUAGCGGUGACAUGCGUAGAUAUCACGAGGAACACCGAUGGCGACGCAGCAUUCUGGCACAAUAUUGACGCUGAGGACGAAAGCGUGGGGAGCGAACAGAUUAGAUACCCUGGUAGUCCACGCCGUAACGAUGAGUACUGAUGGUGGAGAUUCGACCCUUUCACUAUCGGAGCUAACGCGUUAAGUACUCCGCCUGGGGACUA